rnacentral:rRNA from 1 species
UGGGGAAUAUUGGACAAUGGGCGCAAGCCUGAUCCAGCAACGCCGCGUGGGGGAUGAAGCUUUUCGGAGUGUAAACCCCUUUCGACCCGGAAGAAUGCCCGCAAGGGUUUGACGGUACGGGUAUAAGAAGCCCCGGCUAACUACGUGCCAGCAGCCGCGGUAAUACGUAGGGGGCCAGCGUUGCUCGGAAUUACUGGGCGUAAAGGGUCCGUAGGCGGUGUGGCAAGUCGGGAGUGAAAUCUCUGGGCUUAACCCAGAGGCUGCUUCCGAAACUGCCAUGCUAGAGUGUGAGAGAGGCGAGUGGAAUUACGGGUGUAGCGGUGAAAUGCGUAGAUAUCCGUAGGAACAUCCGAGGCGAAGGCGGCUCGCUGGAUCACAACUGACGCUGAGGGACGAAAGCUAGGGGAGCAAACAGGAUUAGAUACCCUGGUAGUCCUAGCCCUAAACCAUCAGGACUUGGGGUGUGCCCUGUACGGGGCACGUCCCGUAGCUAACGCGUUAAGUCCUGCGCCUGGGGAGUACGGUCGCAAGGCUG